rnacentral:rRNA from 1 species
GACGAACGCUGGCGGCGUGCUUAACACAUGCAAGUCGAACGGAAAGGCCCUGCUUUUGUGGGGUGCUCGAGUGGCGAACGGGUGAGUAACACGUGAGUAACCUGCCCUUGACUUUGGGAUAACUUCAGGAAACUGGGGCUAAUACCGGAUAGGAGCUCCUGCUGCAUGGUGGGGGUUGGAAAGUUUCGGCGGUUGGGGAUGGACUCGCGGCUUAUCAGCUUGUUGGUGGGGUAGUGGCUUACCAAGGCUUUGACGGGUAGCCGGCCUGAGAGGGUGACCGGCCACAUUGGGACUGAGAUACGGCCCAGACUCCUACGGGAGGCAGCAGUGGGGAAUAUUGCACAAUGAGCGGAAGCCUGAUGCAGAAACGCCGCGUGCGGGAUGACGGCCUUCGGGUUGUAAACCGCUUUCGCCUGUGACGAAGCGUGAGUGACGGUAAUGGGUGAAGAAGCACCGGCUAACUACGUG